rnacentral:rRNA from 1 species
UACGUAGGGGGCAAGCGUUAUCCGGAUUUACUGGGUGUAAAGGGAGCGUAGACGGAAAGGCAAGUCAGAAGUGAAAACCCAAGGCUCAACCAUGGGACUGCUUUUGAAACUGUCAAACUAGAGUACGGGAGAGGUAAGAGGAAUUCCUAGUGUAGCGGUGAGAUGCGUAGAUAUUAGGAGGAACACCAGUGGCGAAGGCGUCUUACUGGACCGAAACUGACGUUGAGGCUCGAAAGCGUGGGGAGCAAACAGG